UAUCUCUGUAGAGUCUGCAUAUCAAUAAGCGGAGGAAAAGAAACUAACUAGGAUUCCCUCAGUAACGGCGAGUGAAGCGGGAAGAGCUCAAAUUUGAAAUCUUCAAGGUUUUACCUUGACGAAUUGUAGUUUAAAGAAGUGUUUUCUGUUGGAUGUUUUGGUAAAAGUUCUUUGGAAUAGGACAUCAUAGAGGGUGAGAAUCCCGUAUUUGACCAUUAUUUCCAGCUUUGUGAUACACUUUCAAAGAGUCGGAUUGUUUGGGAAUGCAGUCCAAAAUGGGUGGUAAAUUUCAUCUAAAGCUAAAUAUUGGCGAGAGACCGAUAGCGAACAAGUACCGUGAGGGACAGAUGAAAAGAACUUUGAAAAGAGAGUUAAACAGUACGUGAAAUUGUCAAAAGGGAAGCGUUUGACACCAGUGUUGUUUUCCGAAAAUCAAUUAAAAAAGGCAGGAUUUUGUGUUGUAUUGACUUUAUCAGCUUUCUGCACUCUUUUCUUGUCUUUUUUAAUGCACUUUUCGUUUAACAAGUCAACAUCAAUUUCUUUUGUUGUAAAAGGGUCAUUGGAAGGUGGCUUUCUUUUCGGAGAAAGUGUUUAUAGCCUUUGGCCUCUGCAAUCGGAGAGAUUGAGGUCUGCAGCGUAGAUCCUUCGGGGUUAGAUACAUUUGUGCUAAGUUAUAGCCUUUCAUAGACAACUUGUUGACUAUGAUCAGUCAUGUAGCUUACUCGCUUAUGCUAUUUUACCUACGCUUAGGAUGUUGACGAUCAGCUGAGCGCG
rnacentral:rRNA from 1 species